CGGGGUGUAGUGAACCGGUAUCACGUUCGGUUCGGGACCGAGAGGCACUGGGUUCGAUUCCCAGCACCCCGACAA
rnacentral:tRNA from 6 species